rnacentral:rRNA from 1 species
GACGAACGCUGGCGGCGUGCUUAACACAUGCAAGUCGAACGCAGUGGCGAACGGGUGAGUAAUACGUGGGUAACCUGCCCUCAUUUUUGGGAUAAGCCUUGGAAACGGGGUCUAAUACCUGAUAAGGGGGCAUGGGCUCGCGGCCUAUCAGCUUGGUGUUGGGGUGAUGGCCUACCAAGGCGGUGACGGGUAGCCGGCCUGAGCGGGUGACCGGCGACAUUGGGACGGGCAUACGGCCCACGGUCCUACGGGAUAGAGCAGCGGGGGAUAUGGCACAAAGUGCGAACGCGCGAUGCAGCGACGCUGCGUGAGGGAUGAAGGCUUUCGGAUUGUAAUCCUCUUGAACUAUCGAACCGGUAGGUGGACAGGAAGCGCCGGCUAACUACGUGCCAGCAGCCGCGGUAAUUC